GACAAACAUUACUUUUGCUCCAUCUCACAGGUCAGAAAUGCCACUCGGCCCCUCGUAACUGCAAAGGGACUGAAAGGUGUGGUCUCCCAGAGGUCCAGGAAGGAAAGAAGCCCUGGGAAGUUUUCCACAAGGCCCAGCUUCUUCUCAAGGAGACUGUGGAUAAGGAAAGAAGGCAGGCAAGGCUGCUGUGCUGGAAAGAAGGUGGAGCUCCCCAGAAGCAGACUGCAGAGAACGGAGUGCAGGAAGAUUCCCAAGGAGAGCCUCGGGAUGAACGCCUACGGAGAAGGUGGCAGUGGGAUCAGGCAGAUGGAGAGGCUGGCUGCGAUGCAGUCACAACCAGGCCUCCACUGAGCCCACGGGGAACCCUGAAACUGGGAUGGCCCUUCAGAGUUAUCCCCAGCUGGAGCAUGGACCAGGCCUUUACAUCUUCCCCUUCGAUCAGACAGGAGGUCCCAUGUGGAUUCUGGAAUCAGAAAAGCCUGCUUCCUGAGUUUGAAUCCAGUCUUCACCCUUCAACUGUGGGACCCUGGACAAGAACCAACAUCUUCCAGCAGAGACCACCAAGAACACACUUGUGGUUGAAUAAGCUAGGUUUAUUAAUUACUGCAGUGAGAGAGAAUACACACCAGGGUGUCUUAGUAAGAGGGAGUUAGACAAAACCUAUGAUAGAAUUGGGGUUGGUUUGAGAGAUUUGGGGAGAGGGUAAGUGUAUUAGUCCAUUUUCACGCUGCUGAUGAAGACAUACCUGAGACUGGGAAGAAAAAGAGGUUCAAUUGGACUUGCAGUUCCACAUGGCUGGGGAGGCCUCAGAAUCAUGGUGGGAAGUGAAAGGCACUUCUUACAUGGUGGUGGCAAGAGAAAAUGAGCAAGAAGCAAAAAUGGAAACCCCUGAUAAAACCAUCAGAUUUUAUGAGACUUAUUCACUACCACAAGAAUAGCACAGGAAAGAUCAGCCCCCCAUAAUUCAAUUACCUCCCCCGGGUCCCUCCCACAACCCAUGGGAAUUCUGGGAGGUACAAUUCAAGUUGAGAUUUGGGUGGGGACACGGCCAAACCAUAUCAGUAAGGAAGUGGCAGUUUACUUUCAAUUGGCAGCUGUAAGAAACUGGGGGCAAUUCUGUGACGCAGUGUCUCAAUAAAUCACAUCUAUAAGGAAGGGAGAUGGCAACAAGGAUACAGCUGUAGCAGGAAAAGAAGUAACAGUCACUCAUUUUGGCCAAGAGGGGGUGUUUGGUAUUUUGCUGCGGUACACUGACAUUGUUUUUGUCGGUGCUUAGAAAAAAUUAUGACACGGUCUUGCUUUGUCUCAUUUUAUCAUAGUCUCAGCGUAGCCUUGUCUGAGGUCAGCACCCUGUGAGGGUGUUUAUGUCCUGGAGGACAAGAACACAGGCUAGCCGUGAAUGGAAGGCCAGCUUCCAAAUCUCAGGGGCUUUUUUCCUUCCUCAGAGGUUACUAAAUCCCUCCAUGUAUAAAUCUCUCCACCAUAAAAUGGGGGUAAGAAGGCCGGGCGCGGUGGCUCAUGCCUGUAAUCCCAGAACUUUGGAAGGCCGAGGCAGGUGGAUCACCUGAGGUGAGGAGUUUGAGACCAGCCUGACUAACAUGGUGAAACCCUGUCUCUACUAAAUACAAAAAAUUAGCCAGGCAUGGUGGCGGGUGCCUGUAAUCCCAGCUACUUGGGAGGCUGAGGCAGGAGAAUUGCUUGAACCCAGGAGGUGGAGGUUACAGUGAGCUGAGGUUGCGCCAUUGUACUCCAGCCUGGGCAACAGGAGCAAAACUCCAUCUCAAAAAUAAAUAAAUAAAUAAAUAAAUAAAUAAAUAAAUAAAUAAAUAAAAUGGGGGUAAGAGCUCUACCUUGUAGGGCAGUUUUGAAGAAUGCAUAAGACGAUGUGACACAGAGGGCAACAGCUCGUUUCGUGUUAUUCUCCCCCCGACGAACCCCAUAAGAACACCACACAGCAGCUGCUCGAACACCAAUUUUAUAGGUUGGGAAACUAGAUGGAAAAGGUCAGUGUAUUUUGAUGGAAAUCAGAAGUGAAAUAGCCAUCCAUGCUAAGAGUGCAACUAAGCUUCCCAUUUUGAGCGCCAGCAGCAAAUAACCACCAGCAAUUGACACGGGGUGGCCAGCUCGGCACAGGGUCACAGUGGGGUUGGAGCACUGUCCAGGACCUGGUUUUGGGGAAAGCGGGGGCAGCAUCAGGACCUGGGGGGUGGGGAGUGGUCAUCACUGGAACCAUGAUGCCUGUGUUUCACUUGGCAGCUUUCGCACUGAGCUCACAGAGAGAUGGCCUUAGGCGCAGAAUCCAGACAGCACCCCUGGGAAUAGAGUGCACCCUGACUCUGGGUCAGGGACUGAGCAGGGACCAGAACCAACUUCUUUUCUUUCCCACACAUCAUCUUGUCUGCUAAUAAUAGAGUUCAUCACCAGUGAGAUUUCCAGAAUAAAGCCCACCCAGCUUUUUCCCCUAAUUAUAUCCUCUCCCUGGUAAUUGCAGAGUUGUUCAGGGCCUGCAUCUGGCUUGUAAGAGCAUUUCCAGGAAAACCAGAUUGAGUACCACCUCUCACUUGAUAGAACAAAAGGAAAGUUGCACACUUUGAAGGCUCAGCUUCUCCAGUAGAAAGUAACCAGUGGGGCUAUAGAAAGGCACCAGGUAUGGAAUCCCAAGUCAGUUCCUUCUCAGCUAUAUGGAUUUAGGAAUACAUUUAGCCUUAACAUGCUCAGCUGUAAAAUGGGAAUAAAAAAACUGCACUACCCUUCAUAUUCCCGAAGACUGUUGCAAAAAUGAUCUUUAUGGAUUCACAUGUAAAAAGAACUGCACAAUAAUAAAAAACGUAUUUCCUAUACAGUGAUUUUGUUUACCAGCAAAUAAAACAAAUUUGACAC